GUAUCAUAUGCUGUCAAUCAUUAAAUUGCCACGCCUAGUUCUGAGAAAUAAUGGCGCAUGCGCAGUCUGGACUGCUUUAAUGACCAUUCAAGAAAAUUAUGUAAUUUCUCUUACACCCAGGAAUUUAUUUACUGCAAAGAAAAUCCAAUUUCCCAAAUAUCUUAUUAGGAAAAAUUCCCAUCUUCUGCUUACAGCCUGGUUAUAUUAGCCUUAGUUUUAC